GUAUCAUGUAUGCAAGUUUACUUGCCUGUUUUCUUGGAAUCUCACUGGAUUUUUAGCUCAUUUUAUGAAUUUUUUUUCCUUACAGGGAUAAGGACAUGAGAGAUUGAAUUGGGAAAGGCCUAGAUUUCAUCAAAGUUUGUUAGUUGCUCAUGCGAGUACUCCAUAGAUGUCUAGCUCGCUUGUUUGGUUUGAUUUUUUGUAAAUUUGACUCCUUGGCUAUAUUUAUAGACUGUGUGGGCUUUGCAGGUCCAUGAGCGUAUACAUUGAAGGUUGUAAUUGAUGCGAAACUUUAUUAUUGAGGUUAUUUAUAAAUUUCAUGAUACGUGACUGAGUUUUGGCGAAAGUUGGGCAGGCGGUCCACCAAAUCCUUGGGUACGCCCUAGGAGGUGUGACGGUCCCACUUCCGUCUAGGGUGUACUCUAAAAGUUAGUGGAUCGUCUGCCUAACUCUUGCCAGGACUCAUUAAUUUCACAUUAAUUUCAGAGAUAACGGUUUGAUAACUCUCAUUAAUCUUACAUUAAUUUCAGAGAUAACAAUUUGAUAAACCAAAACCAACAGUUCAAAUCUUUUACAAUACCAAGUUCAAAACAAAAACUUCAACCGUAAUAAGAUACCAAAGGAUUCACAAACACAAAAGUCGUUAUGCUAACUCCUUAAGAUCCCUCGUUCAUUCCCCGACCACCAACUCCUGUAAGGAAAACAAACUAAAUGGUUGAGCUAAAAUUCAGUGAGAUGUGCCGAGCAAGUAACAAUUAAUAAACACUUAAAUCAUUACAAUUCAGCAAAUAGUGCACAUUUCACUGUACAAUCACUUUCAAAAGGAUACGGUACUAAUACGGACUCUAGAGGUGGCUCCCGUUCGUUCCAGACGUAGCACUUAGUUCCGUUCAGUAUUUCAGUGUCAUUUCAAUAUCAUAGCACACUCAUUUCAGUGUUAUUGUACAUUUAUUUCAAUAUCACUGCACACUCCGCCAAUUCAUCUCCUUAUGUCCUCCAAAACAAUAAACAAUCCCCAACAUUCAGUAAUCAGUUCAAUAAUCUUCCAACUUCAAGGUAAUACUCGAGUAAACUGAAACAAUUACCAAAGUUUCCGUCCUAUCCGACCAAACCCUUUGCUGGUUCGAAUAGGCCGUUAAACAGAGAGUUUUGAGGCCCAGUUCAGUCGAUGCGGUAAAGUACACAUACGACUUACAUUCAUGCACACUUACAGUAACAUUUGAUCAAUUAUCAACUUUCAAACUCAACUAAGCCGAGUGCGAUAAAGUACACCCCCGACUUAGAAGGUGAGGGACAAUUGAGAUAUACUUUACAAUGAAUCACUUAACAAUAUUUUAUAAUAAGCACAUUUAUCACAUAAUUUCACUUAAGUAAACAUAAACAGUUAACACCAAAAUUUGGAAAUACUCACCAAAUAUGCAAAUAAAUUACUUUCGAGCCUCGGGUUUGUUUCCUGGCUCACAGCUACUUCCUAACACAAGUUUAUAAUUCUAAAGUAAGUAGACAAUUUGUAAAGGUUUGCUUAUCAUUUAUUAUCCUAUUAUUUGAACUAUUAAAAUCAAGUUUGACUUUAAGAUACAAUUCAUAUAUUAUCACUUAUCAUUUGUUACUUUAUGAUUUAAACUACUAAGUCAAGUUGAGCUUAAAAACAAGAUAUAACAAAUCCAACACCUAUCUCACACUUCACCUCAAAACUUAUCAACUUUAUAAAUUUUAAACCAAAGAAAUAUACAUAUAUUCCAAGUUUAAAGUCUUGUAAGAUGUUUAGACUAAGAUUAAAUCAUUUUCUAUCCAAUAUUCAAGGAUUAAGGCAAAUGAACUCUUCAUUUGUUCCAUUUAAGCUAAACCAAAUUCUAAAUUGUUUGUAGUUUGGGUUUUGUUCCACUACACCAGCCACCCCCAAGUUUUUACUUCUGUAAAAUGUUCAUGAAGACAAGGUUAAGAGGUUAUAAGCUAUUUUAUGUAUAUAAUUACUAUAAGUUAUCUUAGAAUUUCCGAAAAUAUCAUGGAAGACUUAACUCAUCACUGUUUCGCCCAGCAAGUAAAAUUUCCAGCAAUAUCAUUCCAAAAUGUUCAACAAAGGUCCACUGUUUACUUGCUUAAAACACUAAUCUCUUAGUAUACAUUCUGUCCAACACAAACCAAGGCAAAUAACACUUAAUUCUAGCAAAUGGAUCAGCCAAGAAAUCAUAUAUAUACUAAUCUGCCAUCAGCUAAGUGUAACAGUCAUCAAUUGGCAAUUCAACAUACAGCUACUUCCUUAAUUUCUUCUAUGUUAACUCCAACUUAACAUGCAAAACAUGACUAUCAAGCUACAAAGUAGCCUUAAACAGAGCAUAUAAAAGUUCACAACUAAAAUUCCAAGGAAGAUCGAUUAAAAGUUCAUUUCUGUAUCUCGGCCUUCCUAAUAGGUUCCAUCAGCUUUUAAUCAAGAAUUUUCCCAUUAGUCUCUUCAUUAUGCACUCAAAUCUAACAAGCAUGAUAAGAUGAAAAUGUUAUACAAUGAAUUAAACCUCAAUGUAGAAGUUUAGAACCAGAAUCCAAUAGAAGAAACCUGCAAUGAUUCCUAAUUCUUUCUCUCAGCUGCAACCAUUAAUUUCCAGCAGUAGCAGUAGCCUAUCAUUUGAUGUUUCUGCAUAAUCCCUCUUCAAUUUUAUGUUCCAAUUAAGUGGCAGGGGAUAUCUAUUCAGCUAUUGAUUAUUCUUAACAGAACAUGAACGUUUAUGACCACGAUUCAAGAGGCUAAACAGUUUUAAAACUCAUUUCUGCUCCUAGUUACGAAUCUGAGGCAUAACUGCAUGCAACAGAUUUCUCAUACUCCCGCUUCCUUUGUUAUCUUUUCCAUUUCUACACUACAAUCUCUAUUGAUACCUCUCGGUUCCUACCAGUUCAAUCAAAUAUUCAUUUCACCCUCAAAACAGAAUUUUCUCCUGCCAAAGCUCAUUCUCCUUUGCUAGAACUUAACUUACAGCUUAACAUAUGCUCAGUUCUACUCAGUACAUAAGCAUUAUUCACAAAAACUUACCUCUGGCCUUAAGUGUUAGGAAUUGCAGGCGGAAUCAGUUUCUCUUCCCAACUUUUGUUCCCUCGAGUGUUAGCUCCAGCCUCCCUUACUUUCCUUGCGAUAUUUCCUCUUGUCCCUGGGUUAAUUGGUGAGGAAACCAACCAAGCUCCCACUUUCACUUCCUCAGUUUCGCUCUCUUUUCUCACUCUCUCUAUUUUCUCUCGAUGCUAGCUUGGUAAGGAGAGGUGUUACAGAUUUUGUCUUGCUCUCUGCCACCACCCAAGUUUUGUAGUUGGUUUCUUUUUUUUCUCCACUCGGUCAUCGCUUGGAUUUGGCUAACCAUUGGCAACUACUUUCUCCUCUUAUAUUCACUUAGUUCCCUGCUUAGAAGACUUAAGGAUCAAAAGGAAAACAAUUCAUUCGGUGGUCAAUGUUCCAGUCGGUGCUACCAACUAAGCAGCGCACUCAGGCCACCGCUCAAAUUUCUUGAAGAUUGUUUUACUUCCAUUCGGUUCCAAAUUCUCCAAUUGUUUCUUUUUUUUCCUCCCUCGGCUCCUAUUGUAAAAAUUGCUGAUAGUUUAUUUUGUUUGACUGCAUGGUUACUUACUUAGGUUCCAAGAUUGGUUUGGUCUUUUAAUUUUAGUUCAUUUGUUUGCCAUGAGUCCGAAAUUUUAUUGUCUCACAUAUUGACUCAAAAUUUCAUUUGUUCUAAUUUGUAUGUAGCUUGAAAAAUUUUGCUUAUAUCGAUCUAGUAGAUUUUCACACAUUUGGCUUUAAGGAAAAUUAAUUAAUCAUGUAAAUUAAUCAACUAAAUAAUAUAUUCAAAUGGCUCAAAUUACAAUAUGCAUAUCAUAUGUUUAUUUGAUUCAUAUAAUUUUUUUUACACCAUUCUAGGAUAUUUCUAAAUUCUCAAUUUUUAUAUAAACUCAAUUAAACAUUUAAUUUAACCAUUUAUUCGUUAUAAUAUUUCUAAUAUCGAAGUAAUUAAAAUAAAAGAAAUUCAUAGCAUACAUAUAAUUUUUCUCGAGUUCUCACAAAAGGAGGUGGGGCUGUCAUACAAUGCAUAACAUACAUCAAGCUACCAAUUGCACUAGUAUAAUCUAAGCCCUGGAGUUGUUGGAAUAGCAACACUUUUAUCCCUUCCCCCACUAAAAGGAUAACAGUAUAUUCUGUGACACCAAAAUUGUUUAUUUUUCUUAAUUCAUGUUUGAUUUGACAUAUAAUAGAUGAAAACUUGAUUUAACAAAUUCAAAUUUUCAUAACUAAAUUUCACUCAAAAUUUUCCAUGUAAAGGGUUGAAUUACAUCUCCUUGCACAAAAUAAUAUCAAAAACUAACUUAUAGUUUGUUUUAAAAAAAAAUAAUUCUUGAUUAUGGAUUUAUUCUAAUAAACACAAUUUUGGUGACAUGGGAACUGAAACUCAAUAUUAAGUGGUGACCCUAUUAAAUCAAUCUUGAUUUAGAAUCGCACUCUACACGUUACAUUUAAAUUCUAUCUCCCUCUUUUUUAAUAACCACUUUCUGGGAGUUAAAAUUUCUUUCUUGGGGCAUGAUGUUCUUUUUCAUCUUGAGCCAUAGUGUUCAAUUGUUCUCUUUUAUGACACAUGUAACAAAAAAAAUUGAAUUUUGUUUCAUGCCUUGAAAGGUAAUCCGGUCCUUAGUUACAUGUUUUUGACAAAAUUUAAAUAUUUAAAUGUUGACUAAUCCAACUAUUUAAGAGAGCGCAAAAUGUGUACUAUUUGGCUUAGGGGAUAAAAUGUUAAUUCUAAUUACCAAGUGCGUCUUAACUCUAAAAUCUCAUCAUUAGGAAAAUUUUUGCAUUGACAUAGAUUUAAUGUGUUUGUGAGUUCUUAAUCAUUGUGAGAUUUCAACAAUAUGAGGAGCUAGCAUAGAUGACAAAAGAAACACAUCAAUUUCUUGAGCUAAAUUACAGGCAUAAUAUGUAAAUGUGUAACUGAUUUAAAAAUGUUGACAUGAACUAUAAGGUCAAAUGAAAUAGAAGCAUUUCAAUAAGGAUUGAUGUAAAGGUCAGGCGCUAUAAGAUAUGAUGAAAUGAGAGCUAUAUUAUGACAAAUAAGCCUCUCACCCUAAGUUUCAGAAAAUUUAGGUGUCGUCUUUUACCAACAGAGCUGCUUCCAUCUAUAGUCCAAAUAAAAUCAAACCUAGGCCUUUGCUGAGGAAAGAUAGCACACCACUAGUAUAUAAUAUGUCAUGCCUUUUCCAGUGGACCAACUAUAUUACUAACACCACAAAUUGGAGCCAUGAAGCAAAACAUAAAAGCAUCGGCAAAUAUGGAAAGUCAGGAAGCGUCUGGAAAAUUUGUGCUAAUUAGUCUAGAUUAGCGUUAGUGUAGUAAAGUAGUGUAUAAAGUUUAGAGUAAUAUAUAGUUAUUGUAGUAAAGUUAGUUUAGAAAAAUAGAAUUUUACUUCAGUUAAGUUCAUAAAUUUAACAGCUGGUAGUAAUAGUUUUACUGCAUUAUUCAUUGCGAAGCGUACUUAAUACGGGUUAACCAUUGAAUGCUUGUAAAUUGUAAUUUGUAGAUCAGUUUGAAUUACUCGUAUCUCAAUUAAGCAUUUAGACUUGAGACAAAAGUGUUAAAAAACCCAAUCCAUGCAUUAUACAAGACCAAUCUUCAGCAUAAAGCUUCCUCCUAUUUUUAGUAGUAGGACCUAGAUUUUUUCUAAUCAAAAUAAUGAAUUUUAGUUGUAGAGCCAAGGAGAAUUUUGUCUAAUAAUUAAGGUUGAAACUUCAAAAAUUAAAAAUUUGGAUUCUAAUUUUACUACAUCCUCUCCACUUUUUAAAUCCCAUCCUUCCCCUACUAAAAAAGAAAUUUAAAAAAAUUAGUUGUAGAAUAUAUUAUAUUUUUGUUCCCUGUAAACAUUUGGAAUGCUUCUUAAUUAGCCAUUACCCAAGAUUUUGGUUACUUUCACCAAGUUUAGAUCGUCCCUAUUUUUAUCGUAUUCUCUUCUUCCUUAAGCUAAUCUUACCCAAUAGAGGUAUAAUUAGAAGUUUUGAUUCUAAUCUCCCUCUGUCUAUAUAUACUAUAUAUAAUGGAAGAGAUUCUUUUGGUGUAAACAAUUUUUUUCAUUUAAUGUUAUAACAAAAACAUCCUCUAAAGUUAGUUUUCAAACUACUCGAAUUCCCUAUUUUUCUCUACCAACUACCCCCAUCCUCUCUUUUCCUUGCAAUGAUUUUAAAUAUAAUAACUUCCUAAAUUAAAAAAUUAGUAGUUUUAAAAAAAUACAUGUUCUACAUACAAUAACUUAUUGUAAAAAAUAUAAUUAAUUCCAUAUUAUUAGAAUAAGCCACUCGUAGAAUGUGCCAAAAGCAGUAGUAUAAAGUAAAGCCAAUUGACUUUAAUUGUGGUCAAUAAAAUUUUACUUCACCUGUGUGACACAUACAAGACAUAGGCAAUGGUCUAUCUAAAUUUAUUUUUAGUGGGGCACAUGUAAUAGUAGUUUGUUUUUAAUCAUCUAAAAAAUAGCCCAUAAUCUGCAAUUUUUUCCUUUGAAACCUUGGAUCGACUAGUAGUUUAUCUAAGUUAAAAUUCAAUGAUUGUUUGAUAAAUAAUUACUAAAGCACGGAAUUUACACAAAUUAGAAAUUUGACAUUUGAAUUGCUAAAAAUUUCAUCAAAUUCAUAGAUGGACACAAUACUCCCUUUAGGAUCACAUUUUCGGAAUUCACUAUAAAAAAGCUCCAAUGCAUUAUACCAAAAUUACUUCUCAUUUUUGAAACCAGAAUUGCAAGCUAAAAAACUCCAGGUUGAUCUCUCCAUCUACAUAGACCUUAGCAGAGAUAUUUGAUGUAAAAAAGAUGACAAAAAUAAUGAGAACAAGUUACAAUCUCCAUUAUUUUUUUUAAACAAUCGGCAACACCUAUACUAUAUAUACUACAGCAGAGGUAAAAAAGCCUAUCUAGACUAAAGGAAUGCCCUGGCACACCCUUUGAAUUUUAUGAACUAGGUCCAAAGUUUGAACAUACAACUAGAACGGAUUUUAAAUCCUUACUGGCCAACUUACUUUAAACAGAUUCAUUGGUUACAGUGUUCAUUGAAGUAUUUCAAAAUUAGGGAAAAUAGUUCAAAAUGUCUCUUACAUUUUAUAAAAUAACUUUUUUUCAUCAUUUACUUUUAAAAGUGUAAUUUUAUAUCUUUUACAAAUUUACAUUGAUCAAAUUUGUUCUAUAUCUAGGUUUUUUACUAGUUUUUCGUCGGAAUCCACACACAUACCUUGCACGUAAUUAUUUUUGAAGGGUAAAAUUGUCAAAUCACAUUUCACAUAAUCUGAUACAUAGUCCUUCACAUUUCACAAAAUAAAAAUCUUUAUCUCACAUUGAUCAUGUGUAUGAAUAGUUUUUUCUUGUUUUUGAAAACUCAUAUAUAUAUAUAUAUAUAUAUAUAUAUAUAUAUAUAUAUAUCUAUUUGAUUUGUCUUAAAUAGUUCAAAUAGCAUGCAAUAUAUCAGUAUUUGAUUUCACCUAAAUAAAUCAAUUGUAGUUGUAAGUGAAAUCAAAUAGAAAUAUAUUACAUGUUAUUCCUACUAUUCAGGUGAAACCAAAUAUAUACAUAUACAUAUACACAUACACGAGGGUUUAUGUAUAAAUAUAUAUAUACACACCAAAUAGAAAUAUAUACACACACACACAUACAUAAAAGGGAUUAAAAAAAUUAUUUGUACAUAUGAUCAAUGAGAGAUGAAAAAAUUCAUUUCGUGAAAUAUGAGGGAUGCAAAAAUUAUUUUGUCAAAUGUGAAAGACUAUGGAUUGAAUUAUAUGAAAUUUGAUUUAACAAUUUUGUCCCUAAAAAAUGAUCACGUGCAAGGCAUGUGGUGGAUUUUAGCAAAAAACUAGUGAAAAACCUAGGUAGGGACCAAAUUUGAUUAAUGUGAAUUUAUAAGGGAUGUAAAAUUAUAUUUUAAAAGUGAAAGAUGAAAAAAGUCAUUUUAAAAAAUGUGAAGGAUGUUUUAAACAAUUUUCGCUCAAAAUUAUACACAUUUUUAUGCAAAAUACGUACCAUCAAAAAAAUCAAACAAAAGUUUGUGGGUUCUAACACUCUGAAACAAAGCAAAGAAAUGUCUAUGCUUGAGUGCUAGCAAAAACAAUUGAAGCAAAAACCUUACAACAUAUUACUUUUACAUCAAAAGCACAAAUUAUAACAAAGUAAUACACAUCUUUAGAACAAACAAAUCCAAUUAUAAAAAACAGACCAUAAUUAUUUAGGCUCCGUUUGCAUUCCUCAUUUUUUUGAAAAACAAGUUUUUCAUAUAUAGUGCUAUAGUAAUAUACAAACAAAAAUAACUCCAAAAUAUCGCAUCCAUACAAUAUAUCAAAAAUAACUCCAAAUACACAAAAAAUAAAAUAAAAUCUAUACUAUUUUCUUCUUCCAUCUAUCACCACCACCAUCCCCGCUACCAUCCCCUCCAUUUUCCUCUUUCCUCCCUCUCCCUUUCCUACUCCCCUUCCCUGCCCCACCCACCUCUCCCCUUCCCCAUAAAUCUGGCCUCGACCAAAGCCUAUAAUCUAGCCACGGCCAGAUCGUGACCAGAAAGACCACGAUCUAGCCGCGAUGUCAUGACCAAAGGCCUUGAUCUGGCCUUGAUCGGAUUCGAGGGGGAAGGGGAGGGGAAGGAGAAGGAAGAAAGAGAGAGAGGAAGAGGGAGGGGUGGUGGUGGUGAGGGUGUGUGGUCGUAAUUUUUGAAAAAUAUCACAAAAAUUUUUAAACUUUAAAAGUACCUCAUAAUAUAUUCCAAAAACACCUCUAAAAAAUCACAAAAAAUAUUUAUAUUAAAAAGUUUUUAUACAUUGUUACAAUAAAACAUUUCAAAAAUAUCCCUAAAAAUAUCUAAUCCAAAUGGAGCAAUUACUCAAUUAUUAUUCUACCUCAAAUAAUAAGAUUAGGUCACUUUAGGUACGUACUAUUAUAGCAAAAAAAAAAAAAAAAAAAGAAGAGAGAAACCUUGGCUCCAAAUUUUUAAUAGAACUUUUUAAGAAUUUAGUAUAUACACUAAAUUUGUAUACCAAAACGGAAAUUAAUAAAUACAUAUUUAUGUGUUUAUGUGAGGGAAGCUGUUUUGGUUUUCCUUUCCUUCAAGUUAAUAUUCUAUGACGGGUAGGGUUUUAGUCCAUAUCUAAGAUGGAUUGUAUUGUUAUAGAUUUGUCUACAAAUCAGCUGGUUGGAAUUGCUAGAAAAAUAAGGUUUGCAUUUCAUUUUGGCCCUCAAAAGUAGUUUUGACCGAUUGAACUUCUAUGAACGUAAAGAAAUGUUUCAAUCUAGCCCCCCUAUUGGAACAAGAAAACAAUUGUUCUUUUUUUUUUUUAAUCCUAUUAUAUUACAAGGAGAGGUCUUGGAGAAGGGGAUAGUGGAGAAAAGGGAAGACACCUGUUACUACUGUUUUUGUGGUAUGUCUGGCAGAAUUGAUGUUGCUACUUCUUGUUCAAACCCCAAGCAACACCCCAAGGAAGGAACUCAAGUUCCCAAUGGUGGCCGCUAGGCGAGCCCAGUGGUUUAAAAAAAAUUGUUUCAACCUUUCGAACAAGAAAACUUAUUUCAAUUUGGCUCCAAUCCCUAUUUCUUUAAGUAUUUUUUUUAAUUUCCUUUAUGUACUAAUUAAUAUUUAAACAAUACAGCUAUGACACUUUGACAUGUGCAGCUGAAUAUAUUAGUGUUCUAUUUUGAUAGAUGUUAACUAAAGUUCUGAUGUUUUGUGGAGAUUAGAUUGUUUUGUUUAGAUGGAACUUCUAUGGUGGAGACUAGGAUGUUUUAUUUAAAUGGAAUUUCUAUGGUGGAUAAUAACCGUUAAAAAUCAACUAUUAAAAAUGUAUGAACUCAAAUGUUUCUCAAGUUUUAUCAAGUCAUGUACUAACUAGUAAGAACUUCCAUAUGUAAGAAAAAUAAAUGCAUGUUAUAUUAACAACCAAGAAAACAAAUCAAAGCAAUAAACAAUACCUAGCAUCAUC
rnacentral:lncRNA from 1 species